rnacentral:rRNA from 1 species
GACGGACGCUGGCGGCGUGCUUAACACAUGCAAGUCGAACGGAAAGGCCCUGCUUUUGUGGGGUGCUCGAGUGGCGAACGGGUGAGUAACACGUGAGUAACCUGCCCUUGACUUUGGGAUAACUUCAGGAAACUGGGGCUAAUACCGGAUAGGAGCUCCUGCUGCAUGGUGGGGGUUGGAAAGUUUCGGCGGUUGGGGCUGGACUCGCGGCUUAUCAGCUUGUUGGUGGGGUAGUGGCUUACCAAGGCUUUGACGGCUAGCCGGCCUGAGAGGGUGACCGGCCACAUUGGGACUGAGGGACGGACCAGAAUGCUACGGGAGGCAGUGGUGGGGAAUAUUGCAGAAUGGGCGGGAGCCUGAUGCAGCGACGCCGCGUGCGGAAUGAUGGCCUACGAGUUGUAAACCGAUUUCUCCGGUGACGAAGCGUGAGUGACGGUAAUGGGUAAGAAAGCACCGGCUAACUACGUG